rnacentral:misc_RNA from 1 species
AAGUCGUAACAAGGUUUCCGUAGCGUAAGAUGCUGGAAUUGAUCUUUCCGUAGACACUUAUAGAAGCCUCUGCACUCCUGCAUAUUUGGAGAAAGUCCCGCGACUGUAAAAAAUUGGUUUGACUCCUGCAAGUCGAUGUAUCGGCGACACAACUAAAUUACCGGGGAACUUCAGCAGUCUACUGUAGGUGCUGGGUGAUCCGUAACGCUGUAUUACAGCGCUCACAGACUAAAUGGUUGUGGGUUCAAUAUUAUCUAUUGGGCUUAAGAUAUAGUCGGGCCUUGUAAGCAACUACAAGGCGUGCUACAGCGCACAUAUUACUGUUCCGUAGGUGAACCUGCGGAAGGAUCAUUAAAGGAAUACCGGGUCUUACAGCCCUAUUCUCACCCUUUGUAUACCAAACUUUGUUGCUUUGGCAGUCCCUUCAGGGCCUGCCAGAGGACUGAAACCCUAGAAUCUCUGCUGUCUGAGUACUAUAUAAUAGUUAGAA